ACGUCUGCAAAAUCAGGCGUCGGGAUUGGAACCCCUAGCUAACUUCAUCGACGACACAAGGCGCGUUAGCGCUUUUUUU
rnacentral:sRNA from 1 species